rnacentral:lncRNA from 1 species
AGCCGGGCCACCUAUGGGGCAGGCUGCAGCUGCCACUCGCGCGCAUUUCCCAAGACGCAGAGUGGGCGAGCGCGCAGGCUCCGGCGACCCCCUAGAGCCCUCUCAGCCUCCCCCAGUGCCCCUCACCACCGUGGGCCCAGGCUCCCCACACCAAACACACCUGCCACCCACCCUAGGCCACCCCCAAGUGGACCCACUCACUCAAGCCACCUGAGAAGGGGCCCUGCCACCCGCACCGCGAGCGACGCGGCCCCGGAUACGGCGCCCAGUCGACCCCGGGCGGGGAGAAGGGCGUUUAGACCAGCACCGCGCUGCGUCCCCGCCCCGCGCGCUCCAGAGCCGCUGCCCUGCGCGGCCCACGGCGGGGGCCGCCCCGCCCCCCAGGGCGACCUGAAGCCCCCAAGCGCCCGCCGCACCCCGGGACCCCCACCUGAAGGUCGGUGGUUGGGCGGCGAGGUCCGCACCGCGCCUGACUCGGCCAUCUUCCCGGGAAGCGGGGGUCCCCGUGCAGCCCCCUCGGUCCCGGUCCCAGCCCCGCCGCCGCCGCCGCCGCCGCCGCGCUCCAUCGGGACGCGCGGGCUGCACAGGCGCACUGCCGGAGCCGCCGCGCCGCACCGGACCCGCGCGCACCCGCACGCGCACGCGUCCUCCUCACACAGCGUGCGCACACGGCGUGCACGUGCGAAGUGCGCACCAGUUCUCACGCCGCGCACGCGCACCGCGCGCACACGCGAGGGGCGCACCGGCCCUCACAGGGCACGGGGCACGCGGCGUGUACAUGCGGCGUGCGCACCUCUUCUCACAGCACGCAUACAAACCGCGCGCACUUUCGGCGUGCACACCGGUCCUCACACAGCGCAGAAGCACACAUUGCGUGUACACAGCUCCUCAUACACUGCUUACAUGCGGUGUGCACACGCCAGUGUAAAUGCACCUCCCCAUACAGUGCGCACACUCAAAGCGUUGUACACACAGGAUGCACAUUCUCACAGUGUGCGCGCAUCCUCAGAGUAA